GAGAGGCGGGCCGUGCAGCGGUAGCGCGCUCCGCUGGGGCCGGUUUGAGGAGACUGAUUUGAUUUCUAAAAGAUUUCAACGAAAGAGGCUGACUGCGCCUGUUCAGCUCACAGGAUUUAUUAAGCUCCGACUUUGCGCUUGAAACCUCUGGCGCCACUGAGGAAACCAAUGAAAUCUGACCAGAAAAACACUUUGGACUUGGAAUUUCGCGUUAAGGACAGUGAUCCAGAAAAGCGCACUGUGCCCUCUGUGCACUGUAAGAAUGGUGCUGCUGAGAGAAAUUAAGAUUGGAGAAGGAAAGGGUUGCAGUUCAAAGUAAAGGUGGUCAGAGGAAGUCUUCAGGACAACAGAAUUAAAACAUGCUUCAGAAAGUAAGCUUCUAAAACUACAAACUGAGAAUAAAAAACCUGAGAAAGGAGCUGGACAGUAUGGAAAAUUCAGACAAGAUAAAGCCCAUGCAACAAAGCCUACAGACAGAGAUGGAGCUUGCUACAGUUACUCAACAUGUGUUCCAGAACGUCAUUUUGGGGUGUAAAGUCAACUGGGCAGCAGAUCCAGCACUCAAGGAAACUGUUCUGCAGCUUGAAAAGGCUCUCACCGCAAUCUAACAAGAAUUCCACUGGGCCAGGUGUUGCCAUGUGUGCCUUUGAUCUCAGCACUCAGGAGGCUGAAACAAGAGGAUUGCCACAUGCUGAAGACCAGCAAAGAUUUGCACCUUGCAGUUUUUGGAAUUUUGUCUCUGUAUGUCAUUUAAAUAGCAAGUUUCAAGUGACAUGAAUUUGCGAUGUUUGGGGAACUCUCCUAAUCUGUAAUUGCUUUUUAGCUUCAGUUAACACUCUAACCUAGAAUCGGUCAUUUUAAAUAACACUAAAGUGACUGUGUACUCUUAAAAGGGGAAUGUCUUAGUCAUAGAAAAGACACCUGGCCUGAUAUCUGAGGAGCAGGCGCAGUUUUGGACAUUCACAAGGUCCCAGCAUUUGAUUGUAAUACUUGUGUGCAUUUCUGCAUUUGUCAGUCAGGAUGCAGAGAAGUCUCCAUUGUGUCAGCAGCUGGUAUAAUUUGUAGUAGGGUUAUGAGUAACUGUCUUCUGUUCUCUCUGUGUCUGUUUCUCCCCUCACACAUACUUCUGAGCACACACAUACAUAAUGCUGGCUACACCCUAGCAAUGCUGAUGUACAGUGACAUCCGUGCCCAUUUUCAGUUCUGUUUGGACACAAACACUUGCCAACUUACCAAGGCUGGCUUCAGACUUGCAACCCUCCUGAACAACUGGGAUUAAAGCAUGUACUGCCAUGUCCAGUACAGCUCUUUAUUAAUUAGGAGCUAUUGAUCAUAUUAAUGGACAGUGUGAUGUUUUCAGUAUUCUUACUGGAAUAAAGUGAAACUUGAAAAGA